rnacentral:rRNA from 1 species
GACGAACGCUGGCGGCGUGCCUAAUACAUGCAAGUAGAACGCUGAAGGAGGAGCUUGCUCUUCUGGAUGAGUUGCGAACGGGUGAGUAACGCGUAUGUAACCUGCCUGGUAGCGGGGGAUAACUAUUGGAAACGAUAGCUAUUACCGCAUAACAGUAUAUGUUGCAUGACAUUUACUAAAAAGAUGCAAUUUCAUCACUACCAGAUGGUCCUGCGGUGUUAUAGUUAGUUGGUGGGGUAACGACUCACCAAGGCGACGAUACAUAGCCGACCAGAGAGGGGGAUCCGCCAAACCGGGACUGAGACCACGCCCAGACUCCUAAGGGGGGCAGCAGUAGGGAAUCUUCGGCAAUGGAGGGAAGUCUGACCGAGGAAAGCCGGGUGAGGGAAGAAGGUUUUCGGAUCGUAAAGCUCUGUUGUAUGAGAAGAACGAGUGUGAGAGUGGAAAGUUCACACUGUGACGGUAUCUUACCAGAAAGGGACGGCUAACUACGUG